rnacentral:rRNA from 1 species
UACGUAGGGGGCAAGCGUUGUCCGGAUUUAUUGGGCGUAAAGAGCGUGUAGGCGGCCAGGUAGGUCAGCUGUGAAAACUCGAGGCUCAACCUCGAGACGCCGGUUGAAACCAUCUGGCUAGAGUCCGGAAGAGGAGAGUGGAAUACCCAGUGUAGCGGUGAAAUGCGUAGAGAUUGGGUGGAACACCGGUGGCGAAGGCGGCUAUCUGGCUCACAACUGACGAUCAGGCACGAAAGCGUGGGGAGCAAACAGG